AAACUUCACACUGCAGGAAACUGUGAUGAGGGAACUCCAAGUGCAUGCACUAUGUGUAUGCUUUUCUUAACUUUUAAUCGGUUUUGGAAUAAGGGCUGGGAAAGACCGGUG
rnacentral:rRNA from 1 species